AACCUCUGAUGGUGGGUACUUCGUAGAGGACUUCCCCAAGGAGCAGUGGGAGUGGUGGGAAGCCAACAAGGGGGCUGCAUUCUGGGCCUCUAGUGGGCUGAUUGGGGCCCAUGGAAAGUCAUUGGUUAUUGCAUUCAUUCAACAGAUAGCCCUUAAGCAUCUGCAGCAUCUGCUUUGUACCAUGCUAUGGACUAGGCUCUGUGGACAUUGAAAGAGUCCAGAGGCAGAGCCCUGCCCUGGUGGAGCUGCUAGUUGAAGAGCAGAGGGAAUCCUGUCACCCACAAAAUGCAGCAUGGAACAGGAAGCCGCAGGACAACAGUUGUGCUUAUAGGAAGGUGUAGGACCACAGCCUGGCAUGCUGGGGCAUCCUUUAGCUUUAGAAUCAGGAAAAGGAUGAAGAGAGUCACAGCACACCCUGCCACACAGACAGAAGGGACAGCCCCAUGGCAACAAAACAGGUAAACUAAAGAAUGGUCCUGACAGUGCCCGAGUUGCGUGGUCAGCUCCUGGACAAAGCCUUUGCUGGCCCAUAAGAGGCAAAAAAUCUGUACCUUGAAAGCCCCCUGCUGAAGUCAUUGUGAUCAUCUGGGCAGGUCAAGUGCCCAGCAAUGGAUUGGAUAAUAAUAGUGGUAAUGAUGGCCUAAUGCAAGGCUUUUGUGGAGGGUUCUUCAUGCUCUGCCAGCCCUUUUUCAUGUACUGCAUCCAAGGGGAAGAAUCCCACUCCCCACCCCCACCUGCCCUCAGGGAGUGGGCCCUGUGCUUGUGCACAGCUGAGUGCCAGCAUGUGUGUAGUGGGGGGUGAGGGGUGAGUAUGUGACCUUCCUGGCCCAGAGAUUUGCUGUCACGAGGCUUUUGCAGAAUCAUUCAGAAAAAUUACCCCAGUGGCUCAGGGAGGAUCUGCAUUAAGGGUUUUUGAGGGAGGGAGGAGCAGGUGAGAUGAGGAGAAAGGAAAGACAGGGGACCUGGGAGUGGUGGGAGCAGGAGGGAGAAAGAAAUGGAAGAGAGGAAGAGGAAAGGGCGGGCGGGGAGACCUCUUUGUGGUCCUCUGGCUGGCCACUCCGGAGUCAUUAUGGUCAGGAAAGGAAGGAAAUGUGUCCUGCCUGGGGAGUUGGGGUGUGUGCCCAGAGGACACCACACCCAGUUGGCUGCUGCCCCUUACUGCCUACCCAGCUCAGGCUGCUCUCCCUGCUGAUAGAAACUCCAGCCCUUCUCAUUCUAGCUGUUUGGGUUCCAAGGCCCAGUUCCCAACACUGCCCUACCCUGCUGAAUGCCCCACCCCCACCCCACCAAGCUUGGGUUUUUUUGUGUCAUUGGUUAGUGUUUUGUUUCGUUUUGCAGUACUAGGGAGUGAACCCUUCUUACUGAGUUAUGUCCCCAGACAUUUUUAUUCUUUGAGACAGGGUCUCAUUAAAUUGCCCAGGCUGGGCUUAAAUUUAGCAAUUCUCCUACCUCAUCUUCCUGCUCCACUGGGAUUACUGACAUUUGCCACCAAGCCUGGCCCUAGUCCUUACUGUUUAUAAGCUGAGCCACAGACUGUCUGGUUUCAGUCUCCACUCUAUAACCAAACUAGAAGCCCAGGGGCCUCUUUGGGCAUUAGAAAAAGGGCUCCUUCCUCUGGGCAUACCUACCUUUACCCCUGUGCCAGGCCACUCACAGCUCGGAGGAAGAGCUUAGACUGGCCAUUAGCCCCCCCUUUAUCUCCAGGAGCUUAACACUUGGGGAACCUGAUUCCCCAUACCAGUCCCUGCUAUUGGUCUGAACAAAUGCAUCCCCACUCCACCCUUAACGUAUACCACUGCUUUUGGGCCAGCAUCCCAAAUUAAUCCCACUUUAUAGUCUCACAGAACCUCUGUAAACAUCUGCACUUUUUAAUACCUCAGCACCUCUGACCCCGAAAUCUCAUUUCCCUCCAACUCUUGGAGAACUCGUAAGUCAUCCUUCAGAAUCCAAAAUCAGCUGUGCCCGUCUCUCUGAAGUCUCUAGCAGUUCUCCAUCCCCUGCAGAGCUAGUAACUGGACCCAAGAGCCCUUAGAACCCUUCUUUUUUUAACCCCUUAAGUUUCAAGGGUUGAUCCCAGAACCCUGCUUCUUAGAGCCCAUCCCACCUUGUCCAAAGGCAGAAGACUAUGUCAUUCUGCGUGAACCACCCUGUAACUCACCACGCCCAUUGGGAUUCUGCCUUCCCUAAACCGGACAGGCCCAAAGCAGAAUGGGGAACUGGCAAUCUAAGUAGCCCUGCAGGCUCCCCACCCCCACUCUGCCCUUACCAGGGUUGGGCUUGACAGGAGAUUCCCAGAACAUCUGGUUGUACUUAAAUCAUCCAGCACCAAACUGAACUGCCGAGGUGGGCAGGUUCCUGCCUCUCUCCUUUCUGCCCUAAAGGUCUCCUCCCCCUCCCAUUUCAGCCUUCCAGCCCUUCCUUGAGCCCAGCCCCUUGGACCUCCACUUCUUUGGGUCUGGGAUCUGGAAGCUCAGCAGGGCUUAGUGGAACCUGAUCCCACCUAAACAGUGGUCCUGGACAGGAAUCCCACUCCCAGAGGGCCAGGGUGCCUCCUCUCCUUUCUUGGCUUCAAGCAUAACUGCUUUGGCUCUUGGUGCAUCCAAGGGGCCAAUUCCUGCCUCUCUGACAUCUUGGUUCACAUUCAGAUAAUUGGCAGCCAGUCCUGCAGCAACUCUUGCUGUUAUUUUCCGAACACCUUUGUAAAAUGUUCACAAAAGGCGGAGCUAGGUGUGGUGGCCCAUGUGCCCGUAGUCCUAGCAUUCAACAAGUUGGAGUAAAAAAGAUCGCUUGAGCUCAAGAGCUUGAGGCCAGCCUGGGUAACAGAGAGGGUCCCCAUCACACAAAGAGCAAAAGCACAAAAAAGGAAAAUAUUGCACAGAGGAUUUAGCAAAUGUGAAAAGACACAGCUGGGUGAGGUGGUGCAUACCUGUAGUCCCAGCAGCAUGGGAGACUGAGACAGGAAGAUCAGAAGUUUUGUGUACCCUGCGCAACUUAGAGAGACCCUCUCUCAACAUAAGGUGUUUAAAAGGGCUGAGAUGGAGCUCAGUGGGAAGGUCCUGAAUUCAGUCCCCAGUGCUGGAGGCUCCAAACUCAAAACAUUCUUUCAUUCAGUGGUGUGUACUGAAGUGUAAAUUCUGGAAGUAGAGACUAGAAUUAGAUCCUGCUGCUUCCUAGAGAAAUCAGAGGGAGUGACAUACAAAUGGGAAAUGCCACGUUGGACGUGCAGCAAGGAGACAGUGGGAUGCAGUGGCGGUAGUUAAAUCCUGACUCUGUUGCUGUCCUGCUGUCCCUGGGGCAGCCCUUUAAUGAAGCCUGUCCCCUUACCUGGGAAAGCCUAUGCUGUGACCUCACAGGAUAAUGGUGGGACAUUAAUAAAGUAAUGUGAAGUGCUAA